AACGCAAAUUGCGCCUUCUUUCGGAAGGCAUGUCUGUUUGAGGGCACCAUUUAACAAAUAAUGUGCGCGUCGUUUUUACGAGCGAUGUGCACACGUUGAUGAGCUUUUCCGAAAAAACCCGGUUUUUUUGGUGGCGCAUAAUGAACAGCGUGGGCUUUUUCUUCGAUUCUCGUGUAGUAAAUGUUCAACGCUUGGGUUGAGAAAAAGUGCGUGCCGCGCAAUGGGUGUGGCGAAUUUUACCCCUGCCCCAAUGCCACUCUUUCCCUGCGAAAGAACAAUCUUUUAUUUAGGGCCUCAAAUCAGACAAGAGUACCCGCUGAACUUAA
rnacentral:misc_RNA from 1 species